AUGUUUUUACCUGAUGGGGAGAAAUUUUAUACCUUUGGUCUAGCAGGUUUCUGUUGGGCGAUGUGGAUUAAUCGUAACAGUGUUACCUUUGAGUCUAAACAGAUGAGGUCGCCUUUUGAUGUGGUUUACUCUGCAUGUGGUUUUCUUACCUACUGGGCAGGUUUGAUGACAGGAGAUGAUCGAGAGAUGAUGGAGCGCGGAGCCAAGAUGCUGAGGACCAAUGCAUCGAACAUGAUGCGGAUCUGUGAAGCGCCGAGGGGAACCUCAAACUAA
rnacentral:rRNA from 1 species